CAACCCGUGUGCUGCUGGGCCUCUGGCUUUGGUGUGAAGCAGCGCUUCGUUCUCCACUCGUGUCUCCUUCUGUCCGAUCAGUAAAUCAGUCUCCUGAUUCUGUACAGCUCUCAGAAUGAAACCAGAGUCCAGACGGAGCUCCAGAGGAAAAACUCCACACACUCCUGAUGAUACUGGGUCAAAGAUGCAUCAAUGUUCAGAUUGUGGAAAGAGUUUUACUAAAAAAUAUCUCAAAACGCACCAGCGGAUUCACACUGGAGAGAAGCCGUAUGAGUGCUCACAGUGUGGGAAGAGUUUUAGUCUGUGGAAUUCUCUCUACAUGCACAAGCGCAUCCAUAUAGAAGAGAGGCCAUUUCACUGUCGAUUGUGUGGGAUGGGUUUUAAUUUUAAACCUCAUCUCCAACGGCAUGAGCUCGUCCAUACGGGAGAGAAGCCAUUUCAAUGUCAAUUGUGUGGGAUGUGUUUUGCUCGUAAAACUCAUCUUCAACGGCAUGAGCUCGUCCACACAAGAGAGAGGCCAUUUCAAUGUCGAUUGUGUGGGAUGAGUUUUGUUCGUAAAACUAAUCUCCAGCUGCAUGAGCGCAUCCACACAGGAGAAAGGCCAUAUUACUGUGGACAAUGUGGGAAGAGUUUUACUCGUGAAAGUUAUGUCCAAAAGCAUAUGCUCACCCACACAGGAUAGAAACUGUAUCAGCGUGGAUGUUGCUUACAGAACUAUAACUCAUUAUGUUCAUAUGUAUAGCCAUGAGCUCCUGAUCAUGACCAGAAGGGGGCGGUAAUGGAACAUUAUGGAUUUUCUCAAAUGGAACUACAUUAUAUUUGGUUGAAGGUUGAUAAUGGACUGAAAAGUAUUCUGGUAAACGGAGUAAGAGAACAAGGUACAGAGUGUUUAUUGGGUUUCAUAAGGGUAAUGGAACAUUAUGGAUUUUCUCAAAUGGAACUAUGUUAUUUAACCAGUGUGAAUUCCUCACAAUAAGAUAUGCAAACAGAACCCGAACUAAGGCAAUUUGGGGGGAUAUUUCUGGUCGACCUUACUGUGUCAUUGCACUGUCCUUUUAAUCUUAGCUAGUUAUAUUGUUUGGCCAAAAGUAUAGUGCUGUCUGACCACCACCAGAUAUCAGUUCAUUACAGCAAGCAAAUCGAACAAUAUGUGAGAACGAACAGAGAACACAGGCUGCAGGACACAAAUGCCACCUGAAGUGAUGAGCUGCAUAAAAAAAUAAGUUAUCAGACAGGCUUAUCAAACAGGAGCAGAGAAUAAUUACACAAGAUCAACCUCACCCUGACUUUUGAACACCACAGAUAGAGGUAUUGGUAGAGGUAUCCAAUAGUAAUGGUAGUAUGGGGCCAUCGGGAGGACAUCAGCCCUGUGAGGACAAAGUGUUUGACUGUGAGGUGUGAGCAGUGGUGGACAGUAAAGUAAUAAAUGUAAUUAGUUACUCGACUUAAGUAUUUUUUGUACCUUUUCACAGCUAUGAACAGACAUUUGUUUAGUUUUAUUGCCCCCUGACUGUCA